AAGGGUUAGGAUCAGGGUUUGGAUCAGGGUUAGGGGUUAGAUUAAGGGUUAGGAUCAGGGUUAGGAGUUAGAUUAGGGCUUAGGUUUGGGGCUCGGAUCAGAGUUAGGGGUUAGAUUAAGGGUUAGGAUCAGGGUUAGGAGUUAGAUUAGGGGUUAGGAUUGGGGCUCGGAUCAGGGUUAGGGAUUAGGAUCAGGGUUAGGAGUUAGAUUAAGAGUUAGGAUCAGGGUUCGGAAUUAGAAUCGGGGUUAGGGAUUAGGAUCAGGGUUAGGAGUUAGAUUAGGGGUUAGGAUCAGGGUUAGAAUUUAGAUUAGGGGUUAGGAUCAGGGUUAGGAUUGCGGCUCUGAUCAGGGUUGGGGUGAGGACCUGAGUUAUGCUUAGGGUUAGGAUUAGGGUAGGGGUCUGCUUUCUGCAAAUGGCUUUAAAACAAAUCAAGCAGGAUCCACGUUUAGUCUCGUGUUUGAGGCAGAACAUUCUAUUUGAGGUUCUACAGAGGAGGUUUCUGAUCGAGCCUGAAAAUCCACCUCGACACUUGUAGCUCAGCGGGACGUCUCGACUGAAACUAGUAAGUACCAUCGCGGAAUGACUGAUUUGACCUUUCACCUUCAAAAUGGCUCCUCUCGUUACGCUUGACUUGCUGCAGGACAAGAAGUAGAACGGAUCUGUCAACAACCGAGCACUUCAGUAGACUGCGGCCGUCCAGGUGACCACCUCACGCCGGAAGGAAAGUUCUGCAGUUCUUCCACGGGGAAUCAAAUCGCUUCGGUUGAAGUUGAUGACGUUUGCUUUGACCCAACAACAAAUUUUCUUGUUCAAUUAUAUAUUCAGAAUGUGCUGCAGGCCACAAAUGGCCCCCAGGCUGCACUUUGGACACCCCGGAUUGGAUUAAUUGGAUUAACGUACUUUGUGCACAGAACGGCCUUUCUGCUGAACCCGAGCUGACCCCAGCAGGCGUGUGACGGACAGGCCUGUGAGCCAACGGUUGUGGGACGCGGUGGUGAUGGCGGACGCGGCGUGUGGAGUCACCUUGCCUUCGGCGCUGCGCUUUAAUGAAGGCAGAGGACAAGCGUGGCCGGAGGUGUUUUGCGCGCCGCGGCGUCACAUCAGACAGCACCGGAAGCGGCAGAUCGCUUCUGACUCGUCCAGCAGAUGUUUGGAAAUGGCGCUAAUGUGCCGGACGCCGCCUCCACGAGCGACGGGAAACUGAAUGUAACCAAAACAACAAAACACCUGCAAUGUUGACUCGCAUUGUCCAUUUUCAACACUCGACACACACAUUGUAUUCCUUUUAUUGAUGACAUUUUGAAAUGAAUUGUGUGACGAAAUGUCGUUAUUAUUGGGGGAAGUAAAGGGAUAGAACUUCAUUGUCACGGCACAAAUUGUGCUACGAAAUUUAGUGCAACCUUUGCAGCAUGUCAAAAAAAGAACAAUAGCAGAGUUUCCCAGGCACAAAUAAAUGACGACAUGAAUAAUACCAAAUAAAUGAAUAAUAGUAUCAGCCAUUUGCAAAUUUGACAUUUCCAGAAAAUGACCAUUUUAUAAUAUAACAAUUUUAGUGUGUCCAUUUUUAUUUAUUCUAAAAUGUCACUCCAAUUAUUUCAUUCUGAUUAAUUAUUUCUAAGGCAGGCAAAAAUGAAAGUUUAGUAUAACAGGAACUAUCGAGUUAAAAUGGUCUAAUUUUAAUGUGUAAUUAUUCUCACCUUUAGAAUAAAAUACAUUUUCUGGUCAUAUUCCUGUUUUUACUCAUUUGUUAGCUGCUUCUUAAAAUUGUAGUUAUUUUUAUUUUGUUACUUACUUUAAGUUUAAAAAUAUUUUUAGUGAUUAUAUUUGAUUUAUUUUGAUAAAAUUUUCAAUAUUUCAAAAGGAAAUCAAAGAUGAAAAAUGGUGUUCAACAGUAACCACCGUGUUGAAAUGAUGUCAUUUUCGUGUAUACAGUCAAACCUGUCUUAGCGGCCACCUUUAUAGAACGGCCACCUGCCUAUAGCAGCCACUGAAAAAUCCCCCCCCCCCACGCGGCCAGCGGCCACCCAUUUUGUCUCCCUUGGUCAAUAUCUGACUGCAUAUAGCGGCCAAAUUACCAACUCAAGUAGAAGCUUCAUGCACAAAAAAGUUUAAUUUUCCAAUCAAUGAAGCCGUCGUGUGUAGACUUGAAUUACUGAGUCCUAGCUCAGUCACAAUCAUUCACAAGAUCCACACAAACUGUCAGUUGUUCCACAUAAAAAAGCCGUCUUCUUACUUUGCAAUGCCGCCCUGAAAAGAUUCAAUGACGGCCAAAACGGUAAUCUUCCCACUUUGCAAUGCCGUGAAUAGAUUCUAAAAUAGCCAAAACACCUGAAUAAAACAUCUAAAAUUUCACUUAAUUGUCGACUAAUUAGAGAUUAGAAGCCCAUUCAAUAAGAAAGGAGCGAUGGUGUUGUUAGUUUACGACGAUCUUCGCACCUCCUCCGCACUCUAUUGUUCACGCACACACCCAUUCAUGACCGCUUCACGCGUGUCCUGUUAGAUCCCAUUCCUCAGACUCGUUCACUAAAAUUUUUAUUUCUUGCUUUUAAAAUCGUGUUUAAAAAAAAUCAAAGAUGGAAAUUAAUAUGUUCAAAAUUUUUCCCGCUACUUAUAUUUUAAUCAUUUUAUUACCUUCUUUGAUUUAAUUGUAUAAGUUAUUUUUAAACACAAAUUUUUAAUUUUUGUGAGCCUUACAACAAUACUUGUAUGUGCGCGCACAAAUUCAAAAUGGCCGCCAACCUGUCCAUAGCGGCCACUUUUGCCGUUUCCCUUCAGCGGCCGCUAUAGACAGGUUUGACUCAUUUUAGAAUAAAUACAUAUCUAUUUUCUUAGUUUAUUCUUCAAUUUUUAUUUGUUUAUUUUUAUUUUAUCUCUUUUUUUGGUUUAAAAAAAUAUUGGUAUUUUCUUUAUUUUCAUCAAAUAUUUUCUAAAUUUUUGUUCGUUUGUUAGUCAUUUCAAUAUCUUAUUCUCAUUUUAGAAUAGAUAAAUAUUUAUGUUGAGUGAUUUGUUAGGGCGUUCUUACAUUUUUAUUUUUUACUUAUUCGUUUUUUUGUAACCAAAAUAUUUAUUUGUGUUUUGUUUACUUUCAUAAAAUCUUUUCAAUAUUUUUUGUUUGUUUGUUUGUUUGUUUUCCGAAGCGGGCAGGAAAUGAGAACUGUUUCCUUAGUCCUGAACAAGGUGAUCGAGGUUCCACGUUGAGCGUAAUUGGAAUGUAAAAUAUUGAGUGAGGAUUCUCUGACUAAUACGCUCUGAUCUUUUAAUCCUUUUCUUUAUUUAACAGUUCAAUCACAGUCCAUCAUUCCACACAAUAAACAUGUUUAUGGCGUCCAUGUUUGCUGUCCAAGGUGACAAACAUGUUGUUGUGUAUUGCUAGCGGGUGGAGCUAAUAGCUAACAUCGGUCAACACUUUCGCUUUCUGUGGACCAAUAGGAGGCCACCUUCCCCCCCCCUCGCCAUCCACGCUCGCUCUGCUCUGCUCUCCCGCCAUCCAGCGAGGAUCAAGCCUCGAUAAUCCGUGGAUUUUCCAUGCAGCAAAAACAGCUUGGGCCCAUCAGCAAAUUGCGCGCACAUAUGGAACAUCAAACGCGUGCGUCCGAGCAGCGACCGCCGCCUCAUCCCCACGCAAACAUCGCUGAAACAAGCUCACCGUGGGCCCACGCCACGGAGGCGGGGCUAGAAGCAGCACAUGGUCUCGGUGGUCCUGAUGGGACACUUGGAUGUGUCUGACAUUUCUUACACCGACCCCAUCAAGUUUUACUCCAAUCUGCUUAAAACGACACACGUUUAGGUUUUUUAUUGUGCCUUUUUCGGUCAACACCCGUGUCUUUCCAUCUUUGUCUUGCUUAACUUCAAGCAGCUCGGCCAAAACGCCAUUCAAAACCAAUGGUGUUCUUGUUUUGACCUUUAGGACAGCCAUUUCUGACACUUUUACAGAAAUAACACAAGACUGGCGAGCAAAAGGGUCAAGGAACAUCUACUGAUUUGGCUCCAGCCACGUCCAAGUAUUUUGCAUAAAGUCCGUUGGUGAUCUCAGUUUUCCAAAAUCACAUAAGACUUUAGAGGAACAUCUGGUUUGACCUCUGACUCCCGCCACUUCCAAGCGUUUUGCAUAAAAUCUGACUCAAAACGAGCAGUGUUCUUGUUUUGGUGUGGAAGAAUGAGGCCAGACAGUUCGUAGAACGUUCCCCAUCCAACGUUCCGUGGAACUUUUACUGUCCUUCCCGAAGGUCACCCGACGUAAAACUCGCUGAUUUUACUUUUAUGCUUCGAUGUGUCAUUUCUUUAGCGCGGCAGCGUCGUCCGCGCUGGCCGCCGUAAGUCAAAGCGAGCGCGGGCGGACUGGCGCUUUUUAAUUGAGUGGCCUUUUUAACGAGCUCUUUAACGCGCUCGGACA